UGAUGAAGGAUGAUGAUGAUAAAGGUUGAUGAUGAAGCAUAUUGAUGAGGAUAAUGAUGAUGAAGGUUGCUGAUGAAGGAUGAUGAAAGAUGACGAUUAAGGAUGAUGAUAAAGGUUGAUGAUGAAGGAUGAUUGUUAGCUGGCCCUAUUGGACAGCACGCGCCUUUUUGCAACUCUCCUUGGUUUUCAUCUCUAGCCUGCGACGUCCAUGGACUGGAGUGACAGCUAUCGCUGUCAUUAUUCGUGAGUAGCAAAAAUUGAAAGUGAACGAAGAAAUCGAUACAUCAUAGUGUAGCUACGAAAACUCUGAAUGUUAAUCCAAGCUUCUUAAAUUAGUUAUAAUUCCUGAACUAGUAUUUCUAAUUGUGUGAAUUGCUUAUAAUUUGCUAAUUAAUCUAAAAGUGCCUAAACGUGAACUCUAUGGGCAAUCAGUUUGUUGACGGAGCUUGCUCGACCCGAAUUAUACAAUCCUGAAUUUAUUGGUAAGCUACUAAAAUGACAAGGGUCAAAUAUCUAGAAUGUCUUCUAAAUCUAACUCCAAACAUUCACAGCCGUUUUGGAUUUCAAAUAGAUAAACUAAAGCUCGACUAAACGACCGGACUGAUUACAUGAAACGGAUAUUAAACGUAAGUGACAUUAGACAAGUACUUCCUAGUUUGUAACCUAAAAUCAGACGGACUUAGACUAUGAAUCUAAUUUGUUAUUCCAAUUCACCCAUUUCAACCCGUCCUGUGUAGGAAAUUUAUAAUCUCUUAAUAUAGAGCUAACACCAAAUUUGCUCUGGAGGUUAUUAAUACGAAAGAAUUCCCCGCGGUCCGGUAGUCAAGCAACAAUGAUGAUGAAGGAUGAUGAUGAAGGAUGAUGAAGGAUGACGAUGAAGGAUGAUGAUGAAGGAUGAUGAUGAAGGAUGUUGAUAAAGGUUGAUGAUGAUGAAAAAUAUUGGUCAGGUUGAUAUCUGUCGUUUCUGUAAUACGGAACGUGAAACCUCGGAACAUCUGCUUCGCAGUUGUGGUGCUUUAUACACGCGCAGGCAAAGAUUUCUCAAUAGUGGUUGCUUGCAACCCAGUGAGAUCUGGUCUGCAGAACCUGGUAAGGUCUUAGGGUUUAUUAAUGCCAUUGCACCUGGCCGGGAGACGACGCGUCGUGGCAGAACCUGCUUACUUGGCAUGUGGUAGUUAGCUAGCUAGAUGCGAAUAUCUAGAAUGACUGGAAGGAAGAGUGGCGUCAUCUUCCAAUUUUGACAGGUCUCCUGCUCGUUUGGAACGGGAUUUUGUAUGGAGUUGACAGAUGAUCCACAGACAAACAGACGUAACACUUGCGAAAUUUCCAUCGACCACGCUUUUAUCGAUCAUUUUAAAUUUUCGUAGUUGUGGCUUUCACAACCAGAGGCGCGCGCAUCGUUUUUCUAUGCGUUUGACGUUUCACACUAGCGCCUUCUGUUGACGAUAUGGCACAACACAGUGAUUCGUCCACCAGGUGAUGGUAGUGUGAACUGGGCGAUGGAUUUCCAUGAAAAUCGUUCAAGGUGUUACGUCUGUUUGUCUGUGGAUGAUCGCUGUUCCAAUUUUGACAUUGACGCCACUCUCCCUUCCAGUCACUCUACGAAUAUCAUAACGGGACAUGCCACAAAAGUUCAACUUAUUGGACGCAGUGGCUUUAUUUCCCCAACAGGGGAGGAAAAAAAAGGCGUAAUAUUGUGGAGGAUGCCCUAAUUCUCCACAGGCUCCGUUUGUGGUUAGGUUUUUAUUAGACUCCCCUAACCAUUCAUUCACAUUCGUAUCACACCAUGAAUUAGGGGUCAUCUGUUUAGUGGACUCUUACCACAGGAACAAGCGGUCCGUAGUGUUAUUCCUAGUCAAUUGAGACAACCGCUACCAACACCACACUCACACAGCUAUCUAGGCUGACCGGGAAAAGAAGUUGACAUAGAUGAUCAACUUCCAAACGUGCCCGAGCAGCCCCAGAAACAACAACAAACAAACAAAAGGAUUUCGUCAUAUCGCUCACAUUUUUCCAUUAGAUUAGAAAUUUCAGUAUGAAGCUUGCAUUCAACAUUCCACACAAGAAAUCCUUUAAAGUUAAAUUCGGCGAAAUAGAAUAGAAAUUUAGAUAUAUGAUAAUAGGCCUUUUCAGUUCACAGGUUCGUGUAUGCCACUGUUUACAGCUGCCAACGCUUACUUACCUUACCGGUCAGGCUAAGGCCUGAGUGGCCUCUGCUGUACAUAGUAGCUGUCUCCAUUCUACUCGGUCCAUGGCUUUGUGUCUCCAGUUUCGCACUCUGCGAAGGGUCCGCAGAUCGUCCUCCACCUGAUCGACCUAUCUAGCUCGCUGCGCACCACGUCU